rnacentral:rRNA from 1 species
UACAGAGGGUGCAAGCGUUACUCGGAAUUACUGGGCGUAAAGCGUGCGUAGGUGGUCUGUUAAGUCUGAUGUGAAAGCCCUGGGCUCAACCUGGGAAUUGCAUUGGAUACUGGCAGGCUAGAGUGCGGUAGAGGAUGGCGGAAUUCCCGGUGUAGCAGUGAAAUGCGUAGAGAUCGGGAGGAACAUCUGUGGCGAAGGCGGCCAUCUGGACCAGCACUGACACUGAGGCACGAAAGCGUGGGGAGCAAACAGG